rnacentral:rRNA from 1 species
AAAUUGAAGAGUUUGAUCAUGGCUCAGAUUGAACGCUGGCGGCAGGCCUAACACAUGCAAGUCGAACGGUAACAGGAAGCAGCUUGCUGCUUUGCUGACGAGUGGCGGACGGGUGAGUAAUGUCUGGGAAACUGCCUGAUGGAGGGGGGUAACUACUGGAAACGGUGGCUAAUACCGCAUAACGUCGCAAGACCAAAGAGGGGGACCUUCGGGCCUCUUGCCAUCAGAUGUGCCCAGAUGGGAUUAGCUUGUUGGUGAGGUAACGGCUCACCAAGGCGACGAUCCCUAGCUGGUCUGAGAG